UACGUAGGGGGCGAGCGUUGUCCGGAAUUAUUGGGCGUAAGGAGCUCGUAGGCGGCUUGGCAAGUCGGAUGUGAAAACUCCAGGCUCAACCUGGAGCCGCCAUUCGAUACUGCUAUGGCUAGAGUCCGGUAGGGGAGUGUGGAAUUCCCGGUGUAGCGGUGAAAUGCGCAGAUAUCGGGAGGAACACCGAUGGCGAAGGCAGCACUCGUGGCCGGCACUGACGCUGAGGAGCGAAAGCGUGGGGAGCGAACGAGG
rnacentral:rRNA from 1 species